rnacentral:rRNA from 1 species
UACGAAGGGGGCUAGCGUUGCUCGGAAUCACUGGGCGUAAAGGGCGCGUAGGCGGCCAUUCAAGUCGGGGGUGAAAGCCCAGGGCUCAACCCUGGAGUUGCCUUCGAUACUGUUUGGCUAGAGACCGGAAGAGGUAAGUGGAACUGCGAGUGUAGAGGUGAAAUUCGUAGAUAUUCGCAAGAACACCAGUGGCGAAGGCGGCUUACUGGUCCGGUUCUGACGCUGAGGCGCGAAAGCGUGGGGAGCAAACAGG